rnacentral:ribozyme from 1 species
UAGACCAACACAAAGAAACGAGCGAACAAAAACGAGAAACGAACGAAACGAAGCGAAACACGGGAAACAUCUUUAUUAGUAUCGUCUACUAUUUUUUUUUUUUUU